rnacentral:rRNA from 1 species
GGUUUAUAUAGAAAAUAUAGGCGGUAGAGGAGCGUUGUGUAGGUCUGUGAAGGGAUAUUGAAAAAUGUUCUGGAGAUAUCACAAGUGCGAAUGCUGACAUGAGUAACGAUAAAGCGGGUGAAAAGCCCGCUCGCCGAAAGACUGAGGUUUCCUGUCCAACGUUCAUCGGGGCAGGGUAAGUCGACCCCUAAGGCGAGGCUGAAAAGCGUAGUCGAUGGGAAACAGGUUAAGAUUCCUGUACUGAGUAUUACUGCGAAGGGGGGACGAAGAGGGCUAGGCAAUCCGGGGGCCGGUUGUCCCGGUUCAAGCGUGUAGGAGGAUGAGCCAGGCAAAUCCGGCGAAUCAGGUUAAACCUAACUCUGAGGCGUGAUGAGGAUUGCCCUUAUGGGGUAAGGAGUUGCUGAUGCCGAACUUCCAGGAAAAGCCUCUAAGCACCAGGUAAUAGUCAAUCGUACCGAAAACCGACACAGGUAGUCAGGUAGAGAAUACUAAGGCGCUUGAGAGAACUCGGGUGAAGGAACUAGGCAAAAUGGUGCCGUAACUUCGGGAGAAGGCACGCUGGCGUUAGGUGAAGGGACAUGCUUCUGGAGCCGAGGCCAGCCGCAGAGACCAGCUAGCUGCAACUGUUUAUUAAAAACACAGCACUCUGCUAACGCGUAAGCGGACGUAUAGGGUGUGACGCCUGCCCGGUGCUGGAAGGUUAAGAGGAAAUGUGAAAGCAUUAAAUUGAAGCCCCAGUAAACGGCGGCCGUAACUAUAACGGUCCUAAGGUAGCGAAAUUCCUUGUCGGGUAAGUUCCGACCUGCACGAAUGGCGUAAUGAUGGCCACACUGUCUCCAUCCGAGACUCAGUGAAAUUGAAAUUGCUGUGAAGAUGCAGUAUACCCGCGGCUAGACGGAAAGACCCCGUGAACCUUUACUAUAACUUCAUAUUGAAAGUGGUUAUUGUUUGUGUAGAAUAGCUGGGAGACAAUGAAGUACAAACGCAAGUUUGUAUGGAGUCAAUAUUGAAAUACCAGCCUAAUUUUAAUUUCUUUCUAACUUUAUACCGUUAUCCGGUGUAAGGACAGUGUGUGGUGGGUAGUUUGACUGGGGCGGGCU